CAAUAGCGUAUAUUAAAGUUGUUGCGGUUAAAAAGCUCGUAGUUGGAUUUCUGUUGAGGAAGUCCGGUCCGCACUUUGUGCGUGAUCUGGUUCUGCCUCGGCAUCCUCGCGGGGAACGCGCUGCGCUUGAUUGCGUGGUGCGGUAUUCGCGACUUUUACUUUUGAGGAAAUUAGAGUGUUCACGGCAGGCUAUCGCCUUGAAUACGUUAGCAUGGAAUAAUAAUAUAGGACCUUGGUUCUAUUUUGUGGUUUCUAGAACUAAAGUAAUGAUUGAUAGGGAUAGUUGGGGGUGCUAGUAUUCAGCGGCCAGAGGUGAAAUUCUUGGAUUCGCUGAAGACUAACUUAUGCGAAAGCAUUCACCAAGGAUGUCUUCUUUAAUCAAGAACGAAAGUUAGGGGGAGUCGAAGAUGAUUAGAUACCG
rnacentral:rRNA from 1 species